rnacentral:lncRNA from 1 species
UUGUCCUUCGCCUGUAUAAGUUGCUCAGAUUAGCACUUAUAUAUUCAGCAAGUCUUUUGUGGAUAAUUGCCGUAUGCUAGCAAUUUUAUCCCCAGUGGGUCUUUUCACCGUAUGCUUGUGAUUUGUUCCCUGGAUCAUUGAUCCUUUAUCAAUGCAUCCCCAGCUAGUCUUCUGUCGAUAAUUGCCGGAUGCUUGCAAUUUAUCCUCAGCAGUUCGCCUUUCAUGUACCCUUUUG